rnacentral:rRNA from 1 species
UGGCUCAGAACGAACGCUGGCGGCGUGGAUUAGGCAUGCAAGUCGUACGGGCCGCAAGGCCAGUGGCGCAAGGGUGAGUAAGGCGACGGUAACCAACCCCAUGGGUGGGUAUAGCCGCGGGAAACUGCGGGUAAUCCCCAGCGACGCACGAGGCCGGCAUCGGCCUUGUGCCAAAGCUCAGGCGCCGUGGGACGGGCCGUCGUGGUAUUAGGUAGUUGGUGGUGUAACGGCCCACCGAGAAGACGAUGCCUACCGGGCGUGCGAGCGUGGCCCGGCAC